AACUAGACAAAAACCAAGUUGUUCGCAUUCAAUAUGUUCUUUGAACUUGGGGAAUUACAGUAAUGUAUUUAGAAGGAAAAGUCAACAUUUUUCCCCGCAAGGCAUCCGUAGCACCCUUCUAAUUUGUUCAUAUGAAUUUACCACAUUUAUUUCAGUUGGUAAAUUGUUCUGAUGUGGGCCUAUAAAUGUAUUUGCUGCUGUUAUUUGUAUGGUUAAUGUGGCGAAAGUAUAUGUUAGAUACCAAAAUGUCCUAUGUUUUGUAAGGCUUUUGAACUCCUCACCCACCUUCAGUUUUUGGGGUUCUGAUUUGUUUGGGCAGGUGUCAAUCAUUUUAUGUAAUUCGGGAUGAACCUGUGGGAUUGUCAGGGGGCGGGGUUAAUAGAGAAAAGUACGGAGACGAGAAAAAAAAAGAAAAAAAAAGAUGCUGCCGGAAAAAGAGUAAAAAAGACGACAUGUCAUCUCCGAGAGAACUUCCAGUUAACUUGAUAAGAAAGUAUUAUAAGUUAUCGUUAUCAAGCGGGGGGGUUAUGUGAGUGGUUGUUCAUUUUGUUAAAAUUGUAACCGAGCGUGUUUUGGAAGUGAGGGUUUCGCGACUGGGGACUGUUGCUAGCGGUUAGCAUCGCAGGCUGCUAAUCAGGAGACGCCGGCGGAUGAGGUUGGACGUUGCCACGUUCUGCUGCAUGUCGGAGGAGCCAGAGCAGGACCAAGCAUUGGGACGGGCCAGAGCCCUUGAGAGAGAGUGUAACCACAUCUCCGUUCACUCCAAUGGACCAUUCUCCUCCCCAAUCAAUGGCGGAUCAUGGAGCCUCGCAAUAGUUCCCGGAAGUGAGCAGCAGCGCAUUAGAAUAGCAGCAGAUUGGAUCAAUGGACCGUCUGUUGCACUUAUGAAGGGUCUGUGGAUCCAUCUGUCUGUCACGCGACACAGAGGAGUCUUGACGACCAGAUGCUCACGUUCACAGCCGAGGGAUUUGAAACCACCUUACCCAGUAGCACAGUCGGCCCUGAAAUAGGGUGUUGCUGGGGUGUCGGAGGAUCACACCCUUUUAUGCUUCCCACCUGCUCCGAAACUCACCCUAUACUGUGUCACGAUAUAGCCACACACACUGUCUCUCUCUCUCGCUCACACAGACGCACACCCAGUCGGAGUACCUCUAUAUAGACAAAGAGCACAAAGCACAAAGGUGAUGUAGUGACAGAUGCUCCUGUCACAUACUUAGCAUAUCUCCACCUCCAAAAUAGUUCAGGACUCGAUCUGCCUCUCUCGCUUCACGGAAACCAUCAGUGCCACUCUUCGUAACUCAUUAGUUUCCACUCGAUCUGACAGAUAAGCGCUUUUAAAAACCACAAUCCUUCACCCAAUAUUUAUCCAAUCUGACCAAAUAUUAUAAUUAAUGCGUCUGUCUCGCCUCUCCUCUCCUCUCUCCUCCAGGCCAAUACAUAUCCCCCACUUAUCUCCCUUCCCUCCCACCCUGCCUAACCUUUCAGUGCCAAGUUCACAGAUAGAGAGAAAGUACUUCCUGCGAGAGGCCGGGCCGGCUGCCAGAGAGACUGAUCCACCAAUCUGACACGUUAAUGAGAUCCUGGCCCGUAGCACUGGAGUGUCAGGCCUCCUCCACUGCAGCAUCAGCCCUGGCGUGACCUGCAACACACACACACACACACACACACACACACACACACACACACUUACAGAAAUAACCACAUACACACAUGCACAUCUCUACUCAUAUGUGUAAUUUUUUUCACACUUGCAACCCGGAGAAAUUGAGGCACAAAUGAAGCCGAGUUUCUCCACACACACACUCUUUGAGAGGAGGGGGUUUCAGCUCCUUAAAUCUGUCUAAUUAAAACACCAAAUCCCUCUACUCCCCUCACCCACCAACCCAAUCCUCACUUCGCAGCCACACACACACACACAUACGCUCUCGCACCCCCCGCCCUCCUCCAACCUCCGCUGCCGCCACCACCCCCGAUUCCGCAGGAGAAAUGAUUAUUAGGAAUUUAAUGGGGGAACGUUUCCCAUCCCACACCAUCUGGGGCUUGGGAAUGGCACGGAAUUUGAGGAUGCUUGCCGACGUGGCGGGGAACAUUAUUUUCAUUUUUCUUGACUGGUGCUCAGAUUUUCAGACACUGCAGGAAGAAGAAGAAAAAAGUCUCCAGAUUACAAUUAAAUUACCAUAAUAUAUUACAAAAUAAAAAUACAUAUAAAGAUGAAUCUUGUGCGCGUUUGUCCGUGUUCGGUGACUGCACAAAACUUUUUUCCUCAACUUCUGAGAUGAUUGUUGUGGUUUCCAAAACUUAUGCCCGUGGAAACACAAGGUUUGUUUUGCACUAACUGUGACACCACAUCUUGUGAAUUGUGAAUACAGCUCUAUAAGAUACAUAUCCUCCGUUCCUGUCCUUCACCUCCCACACAGAGCUGGGCCAUAUGCUCCCUCUCUCUCUCUCCCUAUACUUCUUUCUCCCCCCCUCGCUCGCUCUCUCUCCACCCAGCUUAAUGAGCUGCAUGAAUAUAGGGCUACGUGUACAUGUUUGACCCUGUGCUAAACUGCUGCACGCCGCCCCGUGGAUCCUGUGGGUGUGAAACAGCCCCCUUCUCUCCUCCUCCUCCUCACCCUUGUCAGCCUCCAUGUGAGGCCCCAAGAGGGAUUUGAACCCCCAAAACACAUGUGCAUACAUAUAUUCACAUGCACGCAGCAUAGAGGAAGAGGCAGCCAGACUGACAGGGUGAGAAUCUUCAUGAAUGGGACAAAUAAGGGUUGGUGGAUUGAAGGAUGGGGGGCUAAAGAGGUGCUUUAAAGCCCCAGAGGGAGCUCUAGCAACCUGGUCCUCCAGUUUUACGACUAAAAAGAGGAAGAGAAGGAUGUGCGAGGGAAUGAAGACCACUGUAAUACGAGCUUUGUCUUCAAAAAAUAAAAUAAAGGCAGUUUUCAUUUUCCUUACAAGAACGCGUUGAAAUUUUUAAUUUCCCACAUCAGCCAAACAAUCCCAAGUAUUCCUGCCUUCAUUGCUGGAAACAUCAAUCCCCAAAACCAACAUUUAUUCCACUAUCUAAAUCAACAUGAGACAAGUCUCAACACAGUCUGAAAUCAUUAGCAGCUGCGUAGACGGACGGAUGAAAUAAAAGAAAUGUUCAGUAAUUCACACCGUAUUCUGGUUGGUUUGAUCUCCACUGAAUACGGAUCCGUGUUUCCUCCGAGAAGCUUCCAUUCGGGGGCCGACUCCGAUGCCUCUGAUUCUCUCUCUUGUCACUUUAAUGAUGCUACGAAAUUUAAUUUGCUCUAAUUCCACAUUUGCUAAAGUUUUAUUUUGUUCUGUAAAUACUAUGCAACAGAUUUGAUGAUAAUGUAACAUUGCAUUCCAGUGUCACAGCCACUGGAAAUUAUACUUCUCCAGUAAAUUAAAG
ensembl:lncRNA